rnacentral:misc_RNA from 1 species
AAGUCGUAACAAGGUUUCCGUAGGUGAACCUGCGGAAGGAUCAUUAUUGAAUAUUCUUGAUGGGUUGUAGCUGGCUCUUCGGGGCAUGUACAUGCCUGUCUUGACUUUAUUCAUCCACCUGUGCACCUUUUGUAGUCUUGUGGGUUGAGAGCAGUCAACUAUCGGACAGCUAUUACAGCCGUUCCGGAUGUGAGGAAUGCUGAGUGCGAAAGCAUACAGCUCUUCUCAACGAUUGCAAUACCUCUCCCCUCGGGUACUAUGUAUUCAUAUACCACUUGUAUGUUGUCGAAUGUGAUCAAUGGGCUUAUAUGCCUAUAAUAAUCAUAUACAA